rnacentral:pre_miRNA from 8 species
GGUUUUGGCGUCUGUGACCUGUGGGUUUCCCUUUGUCAUCCUAUGCCUAGAGUUUGUGAUAAGGCAGGGACAGCAAAGGGAGGCUCAGCCGUCACCACUCAC